rnacentral:rRNA from 1 species
CAUGCAAGUCGAGCGGUAACAGACAUAAGGAUUCAGCUUGCUGAAUCUGGUGCUGACGAGCGGCGAACGGGUGAGUAACGCGUAGGAAUCUACCCAGUAGCGGGGGAUAGCCCGGGGAAACCCGGAUUAAUACCGCAUACGCCCUAUGGGGGAAAGGGGGCAGCUUGCUGCUCUCACUAUUGGAUGAGCCUGCGUAAGAUUAGCUAGUUGGUAGGGUAAAAGCCUACCAAGGCGACGAUCUUUAGCUGGUCUGAGAGGACGAUCAGCCACAUUGGGACUGAGACACGGCCCAGACAUCUACGGAUGGCAGCAGUUAAGAAUAUUGGACAAUGGGGGCAACCCUGAUCCAGGUAUACCGCGUGUGUGAAGAAGGCCCUAGGGUUGUAAAGCACUUUAAUCAGAGAAGAAGCAUUUUAAGUUAAUACCUUAAUAUGUUGACGUUAACUGAAGAAUAAGGACCGGCUAACUCCGUGCCAGCAGCCGCGGUAAUACGGAGGGUCCAAGCGUUAAUCGGAAUUACUGGGCGUAAAGCGCGCGUAGGCGGUUUAAUAAGUUGAAUGUGAAAGCCCUGGGCUCAACCUAGGAACUGCAUUCAAAACUAUUAAGCUAGAGUACGAGAGAGGAGAGUAGAAUUUCUGGUGUAGCGGUGAAAUGCGUAGAUAUCAGAAGGAAUACCAAUGGCGAAGGCAGCUCUCUGGCUCGUCACUGACGCUAAGGUGCGAAAGCGUGGGUAGCAAACAGGAUUAGAUACCCUGGUAGUCCACGCCGUAAACGAUGAGAACUAGCCGUUGGACAGAUUUAACUGUUCAGUGGCACAGCUAACGCAUUAAGUUCUCCGCCU